rnacentral:rRNA from 1 species
GACGUAGGGCGCGAGCGUUGUCCGGAUUUAUUGGGCGUAAAGAGCUCGUAGGCGGCUUGUCGCGUCGAAUGUGAAAUCUCAGGGCUCAACUCUGACAUUGCAUUCGAUACGGGCAGGCUCGAGUUCGGUAGGGGAGACUGGAAUUCCUGGUGUAGCGGUGAAAUGCGCAGAUAUCAGGAGGAACACCGAUGGCGAAGGCAGGUCUCUGGGCCACUACUGACGCUGAGAAGCGAAAGCAUGGGGAGCGAACAGG